rnacentral:snRNA from 1 species
GCUCUCUUCAGCAGCACAUACACUAAAAGUGGAACAGCACAGAGAUUAGCAUGGCUCCUGUACAAGGGUAACUCACAUUGGUGAAGUCCUCCAUUUUUUA